rnacentral:lncRNA from 1 species
AUCCUAUGUUCAAACCAAUUUUUUAGAUAAAUUUUAUGCCAUAUGGGAUGCCCCUUAUAUAAGGAAUGAAGGGGCGCCACAUAAAACAUCAAGGGGCGCCAACUCUUGGCGUCCCACCUUCCUUACAUGCUAAGAUUAAUUUUUUGCAUGUAAUCCAAGGCUUCAAAGCAUGGAUAGGAAGAGAUCAAUAAGUAGAAGGACUCCUCCACUACAUAAAAAAAUUUGAAUGCCAUCUUAUGGUGUGUGGAAUUAAGGAAACGCGUGAGAAAUUAAGGGUCCUUAACAAUUAAGACUCUUCCAUAAACUCAACACAUAUAUG